rnacentral:rRNA from 1 species
UACAGAGGUCCCGAGCGUUGUUCGGAUUCACUGGGCGUAAAGGGUGCGCAGGUGGGUUGGCAAGUUUGAUGUGAAAGCCCCGGGCUUAACCCGGGAAUGGCAUUGAAUACUGCUGAUCUGGAGGAUCGGAGGGGGGACUGGAAUUCUUGGUGUAGCAGUGAAAUGCGUAGAUAUCAAGAGGAACACCAGUGGCGAAGGCGAGUCCCUGGACGAUACCUGACACUGAGGCACGAAAGCAAGGGGAUCAAACAGG